UUUUAUCAGAUAUCAUGAUUGCCACUCCUGCCUUCUUUCUGUCAGUUGAGGCCCAAAAGGUCUUACUCCAUCUUUUAAUUCUGACCUUGUGGGUGUCUACCCGCCUCAUGUGUGUUUCGUGAAGACAACAUAUGGUAGGGUUUUGGAUUCUAAUCCAUUCUGCUAUUCGUCUACGUUUUAUAGAGCUCGGGGUUCAGAGGUUCACAAACAUGCCAAAGAAAGGAGCUACACCAACUGGAUCCAAGCCAGGGAGGAAGCAGAGGCUGGUUGGUUGGGUGCUGAGGGGAGAUUAAAGGGUCAGGGACAACAAGCAGCUGUUCCUGGGAGAAGAUUGCAUCUGACCCUGGAAUUUCUGAUAAACUACAUAAUAAGCUACUCAGAAUACAGUGAAACAGUAUAUUUUGCCAAAAUAUGAUUGCAAUAUUGAGGGGAAUAAAAAAUAUCUCACCUCAAUCUGGGUUUUCUGA
rnacentral:lncRNA from 1 species